rnacentral:rRNA from 1 species
ACAAGCAGCGGAGCGUGUGGUUUAAUUCGAUGCUACACGAAGAACCUUACCUGGGUUUGACAUAGAGGUAGUAGGGAAGCGAAAGCGGACCGACCCUUCGGGAGCCUCUACAGGUGUUGCAUGGCUGUCGUCAGCUCGUGUCGUGAGAUGUUCGGUUAAGUCCGCUAACGAGCGCAACCCUCGCUGUGUGUUACAAGUGUCACACGGUACUGCCGAUAUUAAGUCGGAGGAAGGUGGGGAUGACGUCAAGUCAGCAUGACCUUUAUAUCCAGGGCUACACACACGCUACAAUGGCCAGUACAAUGGGUUGCCAAGCCACGAGGCGGAGCCAAUCCUAAAAAGCUGGCCUCAGUUCAGAUUGCAGUCUGCAACUCGACUGCAUGAAGUUGGAGUUGCUAGUAACCGCAGGUCAGCAAUAUUGCGGUGAAUACGUUCCCGGGGAUU